rnacentral:rRNA from 1 species
GACGAACGCUGGCGGCGCGCUUAAUACAUGCAAGUCGAGCGAGAACCAGAGCUUCGGCUCUGGGGACAGCGGCGAACGGGUGAGUAACACGUGAGUAAUCUGCCCUCGGCACCGGGAUAGCCCGGGGAAACCCGGAUUAAUACCGGAUGGCCUCUCGAGCUUUCGGGCUCGGGAGAAAAGGUAGCUUCGGCCUCCGGCCGAGGAGGAGCUCGAGGCGGAUUAGCUUGUUGGUGAGGUAACGGCUCACCAAGGCGACGAUCCGUAGCUGGUCUGAGAGGACGAUCAGCCACACUGGGACUGAGACACGGCCCAGACUCCUACGGGAGGCAGCAGUAGGGAAUCUUGCGCAAUGGGCGAAAGCCUGACGCAGCGACGCCGCGUGCGGGAAGAAGGCCUUCGGGUUGUAAACCGCUUUCAGGAGGGACGAAGCCACUCGGGUUAAUAGCCCAGAGGGUGACGGUACCUCCAGAAGAAGCCCCGGCUAACUACGUGCCAGCCGCCGCCGUAA